UGAACGCUAGCUACAGGCUUAACACAUAGCAAGUCGAGGGGCAGCAUGAAUCAAGCUUGCUUGAUUGAUGGCGACCGGCGCACGGGUGCGUAACACGUAUCCAAUCUACCCAUGGCUACAGGGAUAGCCUUUCGAAAGAAAGAUUAAUACCUGAUGGUUUCAUGAGCCCGCAUGGACUUAUGAAUAAAGAUUUAUCGGCGAUGGAUGAGGAUGCGUCCGAUUAGAUAGGUAGGCGGGGUAACGGCCCACCUAGUCUACGAUCGGUAGGGGCUCUGAGAGGAGGAUCCCCCACAUUGGAACUGAGACACGGUCCAAACUCCUACGGGAGGCAGCAGUGAGGAAUAGUUGGUCAAUGGGCGAGAGCCUGAACCAGCCAAGUAGCGUGAGGGAUGACUGCCCUAUGGGUUGUAAACCUCUUUUGUUUGGGAAUAAAGUGAGCCACGUGUGGCUUUUUGUAUGUACCUUACGAAUAAGCAUCGGCUAAUUCCGUGCCAGCCGCUGC
rnacentral:rRNA from 1 species